AGGCCUCAGAUAUUAGACUUUUUGUUUGCAAACAUGAAGGAGCAGAGGAUGAAUACAUCAUCUCAUCAGAUGAGAAGGGGUCGAUUGAGCUGUGGAUACUGUGGUGAGAGGUGAAGUGUUGGAAGGAGAGUUGGAGAGAGAACAAGAGGUCUCAACAAGAGCCAUGAGCAUUUAGCUAUUGUUGGCUUGUGUAAAAUCUCCUCUUUAUAUAUAUAUAUAUAUAUAUCUCAUUGGAAAUUUGGUGCAAUCAUCUCUUGUAAAACACAGCAAGGCUUCUGUUCAAUUGGAAGG